UUGUUCAUACUCAAAUGUAGAACCAGUCUGAUGAGUGUGUUAUGUUUUUGACAGCUAAGAGAACAAACUGGUUUACUUCAGGAGGUGAAGAAGUAAAACAGCAGGUCUGAUCUCAGGGGAUGAAGCCUUCU